UAAUAAGUGUUUUAUGGCACUUUUUAAAUCCAUAUCCACCUUGUGUGCAAUGUCAGUCGAUCUUCUUCAUGGAGAUCGACCAAACAUCAACCUUUAUCUUUUAACUCUUUGUCUGAAAAAUAUUAUGGAAUAAACAAUUCAAAAUA
rnacentral:misc_RNA from 1 species